rnacentral:misc_RNA from 1 species
UACGAAGGGGGCUAGCGUUGUUCGGAUUUACUGGGCGUAAAGCGCACGUAGGCGGAACGUUAAGUCAGAGGUGAAAUCCUGGAGCUCAACUCCAGAACUGCCUUUGAUACUGGCGAUCUAGAGUCCGGAAGAGGUGAGUGGAACUCCUAGUGUAGAGAUGUGGAGGAACACCAGUGGCGAAGGCGGCUCUCUGGUCUGUAACUGACGCUGAGGCGCGAAAGCGUGGGGAGCAAACAGG